UUUUUUUUGUACUUGACUCAGAGGCUCGAGAAACGCUAACAUAUAUACAGCGCUUUCUAUGUCUCAGGCAUGUUCUAAAAGCUUUACAUUUUCCAUUCUUCUAACCCUUUAUUUGACACAAGAGGAAACUGAAGCAUAGGAGGUGCUCAGGUAAUGCAUCUCUGUGAAACAGCAAGGAUUAAACUCAGGCGUUCUGGCUCUAGAGUAUCUAUUCUUUACACUAGAAUGAAAGAGUCGGAUAAUGCUGAAACAGCUCACCCUUCAGCAUCGGAUCGUGAAACACUCUUACUGGUGGCAGAACACUUGGCUCUGGGAUCACAGUUUCUCCUUCUGUAAGAUGGAGAUAACGACGCUAGGAGUUUGGUGCAAAGAAGGAGUGAGAUAAUGAAUGCGAAAGUGAACUUCAAAUUAUGUAGGUGGCUCCACACACCAGUCUUUUGGAAUAAUGAGAACGGGAACUCAAGAAAUUGUAACGAAUCAAUCUACGAAUCUUGUAGCGAGACUCCGCCCCUGACGCUCCUCCCACUGCGAGCCGCAGGUGGGGCCGGCCGAUCUUCUUUGCGCAUGCGGGAACUGCUGCCCGCUCCCACCUCUAUCCCAGGCUGAGAGUAGCUGCCGUUUCUGAGAGGACGAUUCGUAAGGAGACCCCUGGCGCGGUUUCCCAUUGCUCGUCCCUCUGCUGGCUUUGGCCAUAGUUCAGCGGUGUCUAGAGGGUGGUCUGUCCUCGUCUACCUGCCAGACCUUCUGCAGAGGUUCCUGUGGUUGGCCCAGUAGUCGGCUGUCGAAAGUGCCGGCCCCCGCGCCGGCGCCGGCUGCAGCCGGGUGGGAAGGCUCAAGAUGGCGUGCCUGUUGGAGACCCCAAUCCGCAUGAGCGUCCUCUCGGAAGUAACAGCUAGCAGUCGCCACUAUGUUGACAGGCUAUUUGACCCUGAUCCCCAGAAAGUUCUACAAGGUGUCAUAGACAUGAAAAAUGCUGUAAUUGGAAACAACAAGCAGAAAGCCAACCUCAUUGUUUUAGGAGCUGUUCCAAGAUUAUUGUACUUGCUUCAGCAAGAAACCUCAAGCACAGAAUUGAAAACUGAAUGUGCAGUGGUAUUGGGAAGUCUUGCUAUGGGUACUGAAAACAAUGUUAAGUCUCUACUAGAUUGCCAUAUUAUCCCUGCCUUACUGCAAGGACUACUGUCCCCAGACCUGAAGUUCAUUGAAGCUUGCCUCCGAUGCCUGCGCACCAUCUUCACCAGUCCCGUCACUCCAGAGGAACUACUGUAUACAGAUGCCACGGUGAUACCACACCUCAUGGCACUGCUUAGCAGGUCCCGCUACACCCAGGAGUACAUCUGUCAGAUCUUCUCACACUGCUGUAAAGGUCCAGAUCAUCAAACAAUUUUAUUUAACCAUGGCGCAGUUCAGAAUAUUGCUCACCUACUAACCUCAGUAUCUUACAAAGUUCGAAUGCAAGCACUGAAAUGCUUCUCAGUUUUAGCUUUUGAAAACCCCCAGGUAUCGAUGACCCUGGUAAAUGUUUUGGUUGAUGGAGAGUUGUUACCACAGAUUUUUGUGAAGAUGUUACAAAGGGAUAAGCCCAUUGAGAUGCAGCUGACAUCGGCAAAAUGUUUAACUUACAUGUGUAGAGCUGGAGCAAUUCGGACAGAUGACAACUGUAUUGUAUUAAAGACAUUGCCUUGUUUGGUUCGAAUGUGCAGUAAGGAGAGGUUACUAGAGGAGAGAGUUGAAGGAGCUGAGACACUCGCCUAUCUGAUUGAACCAGAUGUUGAGCUGCAGAGAAUUGCUAGCAUUACUGAUCACCUCAUUGCCAUGCUUGCUGAUUACUUCAAGUAUCCCAGCUCUGUGAGUGCCAUCACUGAUAUUAAAAGGCUUGAUCAUGACUUAAAGCAUGCUCAUGAACUUCGCCAGGCUGCAUUCAAGCUCUAUGCCUCUCUCGGAGCAAACGAUGAAGACAUCCGGAAGAAGAUCAUUGAGACUGAAAAUAUGAUGGACCGAAUUGUGACUGGCUUGUCUGAGUCUAGUGUCAAGGUGCGGUUAGCUGCCGUCAGAUGUUUGCACAGUUUAUCUAGAUCUGUGCAGCAGCUUCGAACCAGUUUCCAGGAUCAUGCUGUGUGGAAACCUUUAAUGAAGGUUUUACAAAAUGCACCAGAUGAAAUCCUAGUAGUAGCAUCAUCCAUGCUAUGUAAUCUUCUUCUUGAAUUUUCUCCAAGCAAAGAGCCAAUUUUAGAGUCAGGAGCUGUAGAGCUACUUUGUGGACUAACCCAAAGUGAAAAUCCUGCUUUACGAGUGAAUGGAAUUUGGGCUUUAAUGAAUAUGGCAUUUCAGGCUGAACAAAAAAUAAAAGCAGAUAUUUUGCGAAGCUUGAGUACUGAACAGCUCUUCCGAUUAUUAUCAGAUUCAGACUUGAAUGUGCUGAUGAAGACAUUGGGACUUCUUAGAAACCUACUCUCUACUCGCCCUCACAUAGAUAAAAUAAUGAGUACUCAUGGAAAGCAAAUUAUGCAAGCCGUCACCCUUAUUUUGGAAGGGGAGCAUAACAUUGAAGUCAAAGAGCAGACACUGUGCAUCUUAGCCAACAUAGCAGAUGGAACAACGGCAAAAGAACUUAUUAUGACCAAUGAUGACAUCCUACAGAAAAUUAAGUAUUAUAUGGGUCAUUCACAUGUCAAAUUGCAGCUUGCCGCUAUGUUUUGUAUAUCAAACCUCGUAUGGAAUGAAGAGGAAGGUAAGAGAUUGUUGAGAUUUGUUCUGAAAAAAAUUAUGGAGAGGAAGGUGUCAAACAGGGACAGCAUCAGCUGCUCCAAAAUCCUGGGUAGAGGCACCACUCAUUGGGCCCUAAGCACCCAACAAAGUCUCCUAGGUAUGAAUGAGAAUCUGCUGGCUUAGCUAACAUUGAGCCCCCACCUUGGAGUCAGCACUGUUCCAGAGUACUGAGCGUGGGGAUUGGAGGAGACCCUAGAGAAGUGACAGCCCUUGCCCUUGAGACAGCUGAGAAGGAGGAUGGUGAGAUGCACUUGAAGAAGAUGAGAGGUGAGAGUGGGCGGGAGGGUUGACCUUUCACUGUGUGCAGGGGGAGCACAUCGAAGGACCACAUGCAGGUAAGCUCAAUGGAGAAGAGGGUGGUUGGUGAGAAGGGAGAACUACACCGUGCCUGGUGAGGCGACCAGUGUGUGAGGAAGCCUCUAUAGCACUCUACCUUGAUGUGCAUCAGAACCACCCAGAAAUUUUGCAUCAGCCAGUUAAAUCAGAAUCUCUGGGAGUGGGCUCCAGGCAUAAGUGGUUUUUUUAAAUUCCCCAUGUGAUUCCAAUGAACAGCCAAGGUAGUGAGGAGUGCAGUGGGCCUCAGUGUUGGAUUGGCUGCAUGAGCAUCACCUGAGGGACUUUGUGAAAUGCAGAUUUCUCGGCACCACCCCUGGAGAUUCUGGUUCACUGAGUCUCAGGGAGGUCAGUGCGUGAGUGAGUCACUGUGGGCUCCUCAGUGAGGAAGAGAGAAUCUGGAGGAAUUACACUUUGCAGUGGGUCCAGAACAAAGCAGAAAGAGGAGCUGGGUUCAGUGUGCAGGCCAAGAGACCACGUGCCAGCCCAGGUGCCUGGGAAAUAAGCUGCCCUCAAGGAGGGCCUAAUCUAGUUGGAAGACAGGACAAAGCAGUGUGGAGUUGGAGCUGCCAUGGUCUCAGAGGCAGCAGGAAGUGCUGGGAAAUCAGAGGAGAGUGGGAGUGAAUAGAGGGGGGUGGGAAACGAGACUGGUUUGAAGUAGGAAGAGCCUGGCUAAGUCUGUGCAGAAGAAAAGUGAUGAAGAUAAGACCUGAUGAUAGGGCCUUGUGCCCAGCUGAAGACUCUGAUCUUGACCCUGUGGUCUAUGGAGAAACUGAUCCAGGAGCAGAACCCAGGGAGGAGGGUCCAAGAGGCCAGUUGACCAGUUAGAACACUGUUGGAGAAUCCCAGCACAAGGAGAUUGGGUUACACUGGGGGGAGCCGGUUUGGGGGGGAUGGAGGGGGCAGGAACACUGGUAAGGCUCCAGACUAUUGGCUGUACAUUAAAAAGAGCAAUGGCCUGGGUAAUGUUCCCAGUAACCUGCUAGCUUUCAUCUCUCAGGCUCACAAGAACGCCAGGAUAAAUUACGAGACAUGGGCAUCGUAGAUAUUCUACACAAACUGAGUCAGUCACCAGAUUCAAACCUUUGUGACAAGGCAAAGACAGCGCUGCAGCAGUACCUGGCGUGAUGAGAACACCCCGGGCACCUGCGGGCAUCCCACAUCCUUGUUAAAGGAAGUACAGGAACUAGCCUCAUUUGAUUCCUUCUAUUUGCACAAGUCACCUUGGACUGCAGGGAGCUGUUUUGCAAAAGCAAUUUGGUAGGCUUAGAUCUCAAAUUCAUCUUGAGAACAUUUUUUUUUGAGGUAGUAAUUUUCUCAGAGGACUAUUGUGUUUUGUUUUGUUUCUUUCUGAGCUACCUGGACUCUUUAUUAGAACAAUCAAUUAUUUUCCUUUGGACCUACAGUUUUUUGCCUAUGCUGCAGCCACUUUGUGAGUGAGAAUGGAUGUGUAUGUGUGUGUGUGUGUGUGUGUGUGCGCGCGCGCGCGCCGGUGUGGACAAAAGUCAGAAUGAAUGAAUAUGUGUGUGUGUGAGGGAUACCUCAGAGUUUUCUUUUCUUAUUUUGUGUGAAAAUCUCUUUUCUACAGAUUUUCCAGGGUUUAAGCAUUGCUUGCUGUAUAAAAAAAAAAAAAUUUACUGAAUUAUAUACAGUUUGAAUGAAAUGUUAUUUUAAAAACAAAACAAUUGUUAAGUGUUCCAUAAAGGUUAUGUUGAAUUUUGGUCAGAUAAAUAUUUGUAAGUAAAAAAUAUAUGCAUUUCUGAACCUCAACUUACAUAGAUUUUCUUUAUAAAAAAAACAAAAAACAAAAAAAAGAAAAAAAAUUAAAAAGAAAAAGAAAAGGUUGGCUAUAGUUGGCCUGAGUAACAGGCAUGACAUAUGGUGCUGUGCAAAAUAGUAAGCUAGCAUCUUACUGCCGUCAAUAUCAGCAGGUACAGAGCCUCUUUUCAGCCUAAUUCAAUAAGCUCUCAGGCUUCCAAGUCAGAUGGACAGGUUGGAGUGGAGUGAGGCGACAAAUACAGACAUCAAAGGGAAUUGUAACUACUGAUAGUGGAAACCCAGCCAUGACUGGUGGACUACACUUGGCAGGACCUGGGCACCAAGAGCCUCCCAGCUGCCCUAAACCCUGUCACUGGUGUAGCAAUAGAUGGCAGGAUUUAGAUCCAGUCAUGGAAACUUGUGCUCCAGCUGAAGUAGGUCACCACUUCCUGGAAACAAAGUCCAAUCACCUUGUGCUUCCUGAAACAGCAUAUAUCACUGUGAAACUAAAGAAUGUCCUACAGAUGCAUCUGUAGGAAGAAGCAGAGAACAGAAAAGCCGUUCUUCUCUCGGCUGUACUCAGCAACUUCUAUAUACUUGUCACUCAGGACUGCUAUUCAGUGUGCUUUUGUAAAGUGAGAUGGAAAUUUUAGUAAAUGAUGUGGCUAAGAUCUUUUCCUGCAUGAAGCCCAAAGCACUGAAGUUCGAGAGAAGGGAAGGGGGUCCCCUUGGGAGGACCGAAGAUGACAGCUUUUUCCAGUCAGGACUGCUUUGCCCUUUGGCAGCCCUUAGCUUGGUACCUGCUCCAACUUCUGGGUCAGCUUCAAGGUGAACUCAACAUGAUUACUCCUGACUGUUUGAAGGUACAACCAACCUUCCUUGUCCCUCGGCUAUAAGAAUUUCAGAGGCAUCGUGGCCAGGAAGCAGGGUCUGUGCUCAGAAGCUUGCCCUGAGUGUGUGCACCUGAUGGGCUCCCAAACCCGCCUGCCAUUCCUGACGGAGCUGCCGGCGGUGCAGCCACUCCAUCACCAACCUGCUCCUUCCUUGGAAGAUUUAAAUAUGUUUGAUUGCAAAUGAAUGUUUUUAAAAUGUAUUUAAUGCCAUUUUUUUUCUGUUUUCAACAUGACCACCCAAGAUUCAAACACAGAGAUUUCCAAGUUGUAUUUUUUCUUUCAGAACAUUACUGAUUUAAAAAUCUGUCCCAACAGGGGCUUGGGUUUUGUACAACCAUCAGAGUGCUAAUGUGCAGAAGCCAGUUUAAAGAAAAUGGAGUGUUCUGGGGAUAAAAGCCUUAUUUAGGCCCACUCACUGACAUUUCUAGUACUGAGAAAAUAUCCUUGGUUGGCAUUUGUAACACAAAACACUAUAGAGUUGGUAUUUUUAAGUACCAGGUAAAUAUAAAUAAACCAAUAAUGAAUUGCUGAGACAAUCUUGAACCCAGAUAGCAUUAGAAAGCUGAAAAUCCAAUGAAAUGACACUUUGACACUUAAACUCUGUGGAUAAAUCUUGCCUGUGGCUAUAAACAGAUGGUCAGAGGAAAAGUGCUUUAUGAUAAUUAACUUUUCUGAUUUGAAUGAAGGAAAAUGUAUUUAUUAAAACAAAGCUGUUUGCUGCUUUAUGCAGAUGCAGUGUUCUGUCUGCAAGGAAGUGGGGGGAAUGGAACGUGGGCUUGUGUCUCCACCCAAGUUCUUAACUAAGCUUCUCGCUCUCUCUAAUACUGCAUUCUGUUUCUCCUUUUGUGCCCUGAUUGUAACCCAAAAUUUAUGAACUAGAAAAGAAUGUCCAAUUUAAUAAGUUGCAUUUUUUUUCCUUAAGCACUUUAUGCAGAACAAACCAUGUUCUUCUGGUAGUGUUUGGAUAAUAUGAUUUUAACACAUGCUAAUAAAAGCCAAGAAAAAAGCAUGGCAACUUCUAAAAA